CGAAUAAUACAAAUACGGGACUCAACAGAGGCUCCGUAAUUUGAAUGAGUACAAUUUAAAUCCUUUAACGAGGACCAACUGGAGGGCAAGUCUGGUGCCAGCAGCCGCGGUAACUCCAGCUCCAGAAGCGUAUAUUAAAGUUGUUGCAGUUAAAAAGCUCGUAGUUGGAUCUGGGUCGCAUGGUCGCAUAUCGUUGCUCAAGUUCUACGGAUCGUAAUUUUGGUCCAGUUCGUGGCUCGAUGUUGUGGCUGUGCAGCCUUUCUGCCGUAUCUGUUUACAGGUGCUGGCUUUAUCGGUGGGUACGCCUAUCCGUCUAGUCGGCAUGCCUUUUGAUGCCUUUAAACGGGUGUCUGGGGCGGACGGCACAUUUACUUUGAACAAAUUUGAGUGCUCAAAGCAGGCCAUUGAGCCUGAAAAUUCUCGCAUGGAAUAAUGGAAUAGGACUUCGGUUCUAUUUUGUUGGUUUUCGGAUCCGAAGUAAUGGUUAAGAGGGACAGACGGGGGCAUUUGUAUGGCGGUGUUAGAGGUGAAAUUCUUGGAUCGCCGCCAGACAAACUACAGCGAAAGCAUUUGCCAAGGAUGUUUUCAAUGAUCAGGAGCGAAAGUCAGAGGUUCGAAGACGAUCAGAUACCGUCCUAGUUCUGACCAUAAACGUUGCCAACUGAC
rnacentral:rRNA from 1 species